CACGUGCAGCCCAAUAGCCCACAGAGCAUGGGCUGGAGGGAGGCUAGCUGAGGUUGACCACAGAUUCUCAGUGGAAGGACAGUGCAUGUCUCAAAUUCUCCUAGCUUUGUGACAAUAAUCACCAACAUUUAUGGAUACCUUUGCAGGCAGGACCGUAGAGCAGAGAAGACACUGGAGCUUUGGUGCUUGGAAAGACCUCCCUGAAAUCCUGGCUUGGCCACUGCCAACCUUAGCCUGUCAGCUCCACAAGGGCAGGACUGUGACCCGCUGAUAGCCAUGUGAACCUUUCACCAUGGUUCAUGUGCAUGGAAGGUGCUAGAAAAUAGCCAUCAAAUGAAGGACAAGAAGAAUGGCUGGGGACAGCUCUGGCGACAUCUUCUUGCUUUAGUGACGACAAAACUGAAAAAUGUUGGGCUCUCAUGCUGCCCAAACAUUCCACAGACAAGGACCAAGUACUGGGCUGGCUGGGGAAGUCCGGAAAAGAACAUCAUUGCUGACAUCAAGAAGGCCCUAGAAGGGGAGACAGGGGAGUAAACACCUGCCAUGGAAGGUGCCAAGUGCUAUGGUAGACAUGUGACCGUCAGGGUAUGAGGAUUCACCUUCAGCUCCCUGUGUGCUUGUUGUGGGGAGAGCUCAAGGUAAGGGUAAAGACAGAGGGGUGGGGAACUGCCAGAGGAGCCUUCCUGCAGUGCCUGGAGCCUGAGCUGAGGCAUGGAGGUCACAGUGGAGCUGGCCAGGCUGAGACGGCACACUCUGGACUCCUUGACUUGAUGACUGGAAGUCGCUGGCUCUGCAUCUGAACUGAGAUACUUAUGAUAAGGUGAAACAAAAAUCCCCUAAACAGGGAAUCAGAUGGUACCAGGAGUGAAAAGACCCAGCCCUGCUUGCCAGGAAACACCAAACCCCAAUCACUGGAAAACACCACCAUUCCUUCCCCUAAAGCCAAAGCUUCUCCAUGUGAAGGGGAGGAUGGUAAGGCCCCAUGUGUGUGUUACACAUGGUCCAGGCAGAGAGUGCUGUGUCCAUGGCUAACCCAUCCCCUGGGCCUUGCCUUCACAGUGUCUGGGAUCUGUUUAGGGGGCAGCCCCAUUUACUUGCAGUUCGCCAGUCACACGCUACAGCACAGAUUCAUUCCCCUCCACCUGCCUGCCACUCACGCUUAUGGGAGAUGAGAUGGGAAGUAAUGGGCCUUCCUCUCGCCUCCCAUAUGAGCACUUGAAGUUAAUCCGUAUCUGGGUCUCAUGACUCACCACAUUAUUCUGUGCAUAUACUUUAUUACAGACUCAUGGUUCAAAUAAAAUUAGUGCUAUCCCAUAUUAUUGGUUCAAAAUUAGAAUUACAUGAACAAAACAGAUAAAGUCUUACCCAGCCUUCUAGGGCUAAACCAUGGAAGCAACUGCAACAUUUCUUCCUUUUAUUUAACCUCUGUAAUUUCAUUUUAGGUUGUCUUCAAGACUUUAAAAUAACAAGACUUAUUUCAACCGGAUUUUCCUAAAGUUCUUAGGUAGGGUGAGUAUCUAAUUCAGCACCAAAACUGGGACAGUCAUGAGAGUGAAAGGCAGACUAUUAAUAGUUAAGCCAGGACAAUGGCAUAUGCAGAGCUGCCACAGGCUAACUGUGACAGGUGGUCACCUAUUUUUAGGGGCAGGCUGACCCUCUUCAAUAGUCAUGGAUUAGUCUUGCUAAGUAAUGCUGCUUUUUCUGAUUGCUUUUUUAAAAAAACAAAGCAAA